rnacentral:lncRNA from 1 species
GAAAGAAAGAGAAGGAAAGCAAGCAAGCAGCCAAAGCCCUGGGAACCCAUCGAGGAAUGGCCCCGGCAGCAGAGUUACCCUCAGCUCUGAUGGAAAGCCUUGCUCCAAUCUGAAUUCUGGUCUUCCAAGAAAAAUCACAAGCAAUGACAGGCUCUUUAAUAUGGGUUCCAGCCACAGGCCAGAGAUCAAACGUCGCUGAACCAGUGUGAGGAAAAGAAUGGCAGGCAGACGUCUUCUUUUUCCGCACACAGUCUGUAAUCAGCUCUCCACAAGGUCAUCCCAGAACACCAAGGACAGUCCAGAUACCUCCAGGCUCUCCUCAGUAAUGGACGGAAGCAGUGGUGCAGAUAAUCUGCCCAAAUGGCGGGCUCCAGUUCUCCCUGGAUUCCAGGAACACCAUCUCCUUCCUCGUCCCUUCCGUCCCAGGGAAGGUUUACACUGAAAAUUUUUUGUGAUGAAAAGAUUUGAAGAAGAUGACAGGAGACGGAGAAGCACCAGCUGAUCUGCAGACUCCAAGGAGGUCCCAGGAAGAGGUGUCAUCCACUAAGAUCUUCUGGGACAGGAAAGCCCUGUGAUACCUCUUACAUCACACCAAACAGAGCCCCAC